rnacentral:rRNA from 1 species
AAGAACGCGUGGAGCAUGUGGCUUAAUUUGACUCAACGCGGGAAAUCUUACCGGGUCCGGACACACUGAGGAUUGACAGGCAAUAUUAAUACGUGUUCUUUACGCGUAUUAUGUUAAAUAUGCUAGUCCUUUCAUGAUUAUGUGAUAGGUGGUGCAUGGCCGUUCUUAGUUCGUGGAGUGAUCUGUCUGCUUAAUUGCGUUUCACUAAGGGCCUAUAAAUUUACGUGUGUUGCGGCUCUUUGACCCCUUUCUUUUUUACCGAAGAAAGCGCGCGUCUUAGUUUUGCUUUGCUCACACAAUUAGGUCCUGAAAGCAACGAACGUGCCGCAACCUCUCGUUGCCUUUAUACCAAACAUGUUUGCUAUUUUUAACGAUAUGCAUUCAUGAAAAAAGGCUUUUUAAACUAGAGGGACCGCUGUUACUUUCUUAAACCAGAGGAAGGUUGCGGCAAUAACAGGUCUGUGAUGCCCUUAGAUGUUCCGGGCUGCACACGUGCUACAAUGAUUAUUGCAGUGAGCAUCUCAUUUUUACACACCGCAUGCGCGAGUCCAUUUAUUCACUUCCGUGUUUUAAAUGUGUAUCUCUGCGCGCGGUAAAGCCUGCUUCGAAAGUAAGUGGGUAAUCAAUUAGAAGUAAUGAUUUCCUUUUUUUAGCACACAUAUAUACGGCGUCUAUAUCCGGGUUACCUUGUUGUAACUUUUGUGUGUAUAGAUGUUUUUUCCGUAUGUGCGAUUGUCAAUUCAUGGUGGGGACAGACCAUUGUUAAUUGUUGGUCUCGGUCUUAACUAGGAAUGCCUUGUACGGGUCUUUGGUUCAACAAACCACCCGGAAUACGUCCCUGCCCUUUGUACACACCGCCCGUCGCUCUUACCGAUGGACUUCUCUGUGAGUUUGAGGGACUGGGAACGCAGAAUUUUAUUAUUCUACACACCUAUGGAAACUUAAACGAACAGUGUGGUCUAAAGGAAAGAGAAGUCGUAACAAGGCAUCGGUAGGUGAACCUGCAGAAGGAUCA